rnacentral:rRNA from 1 species
CCUACGGGAGGCAGCAGUGAGGAAUAUUGGUCAAUGGACGAGAGUCUGAACCAGCCAAGUAGCGUGAAGGAUGACUGCCCUAUGGGUUGUAAACUUCUUUUAUAUGGGAAUAAAAUGUUCCACGUGUGGGAUUUUGUAUGUACCAUAUGAAUAAGGAUCGGAUAACUCCGUGCCAGCAGCCGCGGUAAUACGGAGGAUCCGAGCGUUAUCCGGAUUUAUUGGGUUUAAAGGGAGCGUAGGUGGAUUGUUAAGUCAGUUGUGAAAGUUUGCGGCUCAACCGUAAAAUUGCAGUGGAAACUGGCAGUCUGGAGUACAGUAGAGGUGGGCGGAAUUCGUGGUGUAGCGGUGAAAUGCUUAGAUAUCACGAAGAACUCCGAUUGCGAAGGCAGCUCACUGGACUGCAACUGACACUGAGGCUCGAAAGUGUGGGUAUCAAACAGGAUUAGAUACCCCUGUAGUC